UGGGGAAUAUUGCACAAUGGGCGCAAGCCUGAUGCAGCCAUGCCGCGUGUAUGAAGAAGGCCUUCGGGUUGUAAAGUACUUUCAGUCGGGAGGAAGGCGAUAAGGUUAAUAACCUUGUCGAUUGACGUUACCCGCAGAAGAAGCACCGGCUAACUCCGUGCCAGCAGCCGCGGUAAUACGGAGGGUGCAAGCGUUAAUCGGAAUUACUGGGCGUAAAGCGCACGCAGGCGGUCUGUCAAGUCGGAUGUGAAAUCCCCGGGCUUAACCUGGGAACUGCAUUCGAAACUGGCAGGCUAGAGUCUUGUAGAGGGGGGUAGAAUUCCAGGUGUAGCGGUGAAAUGCGUAGAGAUCUGGAGGAAUACCGGUGGCGAAGGCGGCCCCCUGGACAAAGACUGACGCUCAGGUGCGAAAGCGUGGGGAGCAAACAGG
rnacentral:rRNA from 1 species